ensembl:snRNA U2 U2 spliceosomal RNA
AUUGUUUCUCAGCCUUUUGGCUAAGAUCAAGUGUAGUAUCUAUUCUUAUCAGUUUAAUAAAUGAAAAUAUAUAUUUCUAAUUUAAUGAAAUAGAUUAAAAAUUUAACCUUUUUCCUACCAUACCCCCC